GCCUUCGGCACAGAACCCCGCUUGGGUCUCAAACCCACAAACUGCAAGAUUAUGACCUAAGCUGAAGUCAGACACUUAACCGACUGAGCCACCCAGGCACCCCUGUAUAUCCUAUUCUUAGAAGGUUCUCCCAGAAGGUUGUAAGACCUCCGUGACCCCGGCCUCAGAGGGCAAAUGGCUCACAAGAAAGGUCUUUAGCGUCCUCCGAGGUCCAGAAGGUGACUUGGCUAUUGUCAGCAAAACCGCGUGCUGCCCCGGGAAAUCAGAAGGAAGGGCAAGAUUCCAGCCCAAGCAGGCACUGUUUGCUGACCAGAUUCAAGGAUGGCCACCACCUUUGACUUCCUGCUAAUAGCCAUGCUGGGCAGCUUCUCCAGAAACAACAUGUUCUCACUGUGAGAUCAGGGAGCACGAGGGCUGCCUCCAACAGGAAGUGGCCAGAGCAGGCCAAGGCCACGGGGCCAGGCUGAGCACUGAAUACUGAUUUAUUCCUUGGCUUGGCUGGUGGUUGGGUGGGUCCCUGGGCUGACAGAGCUUCUCUUCCUGUCCCCAGUGCAGUCUGGCAGAGAGGGUGUGGCAGCAGCAGGGGCAGAAGUGCCAGGAUGAUGAUGCCUGAGCUUGGUGCUAAGGGACCAAUUAGCCAGUCAUGGGGUGAAUCCCAUGACCCUGCUGCCAAUGCUCAGAGGCUCCCUGAGCCCCAGAUCCUCUCCCACUGCAGGCCAUGGCACCGGGACUCCAACACUCCCAGGGUCACCGGCACCGGCCAAUGUAGCUUGACCAAAGGGACAGACCCCAAGGGCCCGCUCCGAGGGAGGCCCAGCUGGGAGGAGACGCCAGAGAAUUCACGUUUUCUGACUUGCUUGGUAGAGUUCCUUCCUGCCCACCGCAAGUCAACAUACAAGCCGUUCUCGUGUAUGUACGUGGACUCACAUACGGCAGGCACCCAGACACGCACAGGCAGAUCCACCCAGAGAUGGGGGCACAGACACGGACACCCUGACGCAUAAAGCAGAUGUGGCCCCCUGGGUGCGGGCGCAUGACCAUAUCUACACGUGUACAAUCACCAGCUACCAGUGGCCAGAAGGCCCCCUUGUCCUCCUAAACCAGAAGCCUUCCAUUAGCCUAAGUUUAAAUUGUGUGUUUCCAGGGGCGCCUGGGUGGUGCAGUCGGUUAAGCGUCCGACUUCAGCCAGGUCACGAUCUCGCGGUCCGGGAGUUCGAGCCCCGCGUCGGGCUCUGGGCUGAUGGCU